GUCCCCACCCCCUUCUUCCGGCAGUGGAGGGGUGCUUAAGCGUCUGUUACACCUCAGUAGACAGGGGGUGGGCGGGCCUCAGACCCUGCUCUGUCUCAAAGCUGUUAUCACUUCAGCAUUCAAGUUCUAUCAGUUAAGGCAACUAAUCAGAGGUCACGUAACUAGCCCAAGGUCACAUAACUGGAAAGUGAUAGAUUUGCUGUUUCAUUCAAGACUAUUUGACUCCAGAGGAUUCACUGUUGCCUACUACACUGUUAAAGAGGAUGUUGACGGAAGAGGAGAAUAAAAGAGGAAACAGUCUUCUGCCUGAAAACUGGGAGGUUAAGACAAAAACAACGGCACACAAGCACCGCACUUCAGCUGGGGACGUGGCUUCUCUUGGUUAAUGCUGGCUACCAACGCUGAAAUCGUGUUCCAUGUCUACUGGGCUGGACAAGUAAGUCAGUGGAUGGUGGCUGGCUGGAGCCCGUUCGCCCACUGUCAGCGAGGGAAUGUCUAAAAAAGCAAGGGAACCAAGCUAGAAUGAAGCCAGCUGUGCUGCACGGGAGUUGGUGACACUGCUGCGGACUCAGCUGAGCUCGAGAUAGAUGUAGAUGGAUGCAUUCAGAAUUGAUUCUAGAUCUGUGUGUCUCCAAAGUGCUUUUUUUCUUUCUUUUUUUUUUUUUCUGUUUUUCUGUUAGUAGUUUUUAUUUCCACUGCUUUUAAGAUAUCAAACCUAGGAGUAAACGAACCUAACUGAGAAAAGACAUAUUUGGGACCUCUAGAUACUAUUUCAACUUGAAAAUACUGUUUUAUCACAUUUGUUAUUGAUAACAUUUCUUAAGUGUCUACCUCCACCUUAAACCUAGAACUCAGAACAAAUGCAGAAUAGAUGAUUUUAACCUUCAGCUUUAAAUAUCAUUUGGUUUUCUUCUGUUUUCCUACUUGAAUACUUUCUGUAAAGUGAGGGCCUUGUUACUGCAUUUUAAAUAUGCCUUACACUGUGCAAAA